GAUGAAGAACGCAGCGAAAUGCGAUAAGUAAUGUGAAUUGCAGAAUCCAGUGAAUCAUCGAAUCUUUGAACGCACAUUGCGCCCUUUGGCAUUCCGAAGGGCACACCUGUCCGAGCGCCGUCGCACAACUGAGGCGCAGCCUUGCGUUGGCGGGCGACUUGUGAGUAGCGAGUCGCCGCCCAAACGAGACGGCGCCGCGCCGCGGCCGACGAAGCACGAAAGCGGAAGUCGACGCGGAGGCGGUUGCCUGUAGGAAGACACAGCUUGGCCUCGGAUCAGGUGGGGAUACCCGCUGAACUUAAGCAUAUCAAUAAGCGGAGGA
rnacentral:misc_RNA from 1 species